rnacentral:tRNA from 2 species
GGGCAGGUGGCCGAGUGGACAAUGGCACCAGACUGUAAAUCUGGCGGCGUAGCCUUCGGAGGUUCGAAUCCUUCCCUGCCCA